ACUAAGCAGGUAACUGAAGUUUAACUUUGUGACAGCUUCACUUUAAAUUUUAAGUGGAGUAGAGGUUUGCUGAAUUUUAUUAGUAAGUAGAUGACCACUUUCCCCAGGUUUCCAUGAUUUAUGUUACCUCUUGUAGCUUGCAGGUAUUUGUCUAAAAGAAGCAAAACUGCUUUGAGAAAAAUAACAGGAGAAACGGUCUAUCCUUCACCAUUUUGUCAUCCAAGAAGAGAAAGCUGGACAUUUUAUGAGCUGUUAUUUGAAAUGGUUUGCAGAAUCCAGGAGAUAUCACAGGAUCAGCUAAUAGUGAGAGUUUCAAGAUUUUGUUGAUGAUAACAGCUAAUUGCUGAAAAAACAGAAAGGAGGAGGCUCAUCUGAUAAAAGAAACUAACCAGAAGCUGAUGAAACUGUUUCGUGCAGAGAACAGAAACAGUCAAACAAAUGCUGUGAGAUGGAACAAACAUCACAAAGCAAAAGCCAGAAACCUCGGAAGAUGAAGAACCUGCAGGGGGAUUUUAGUUAAGAAACACAUAUUGACAGAUUUAACAAGAAGAUGAAAAUACCUAGAAGGAACAAAGUGUGACCAGCUCUUCGGUGCUCGUGCUUGGUAACAAGAGACCCAGCUUUCUAGCAGAACAUAAAUAACCGGCACCUACUUCUCCUACAACAGUAAUAGAAAAGACACUUUUUUUUUUAAUGAAAGAUUACGAAUAGUUCACUGACCCAUAUGAGGAAGCAGUCACUGAAGAAUUACUUCACUACUGAAGAAUGAGCAAACGUUUUGAAUAAGAGAAAUGACAUACACCAAAAUUAAAAGUCUUGCCUGCAAUUCUUAAUUUGUGAUAAAAUAAUCUGCAAGUUCAAGGCCUGUUUUGAGCAUACGGUAAUGUUGAGGUGAAGCUUUGCAGAACAGAUCAAUCUGUGGCUAAAAAAGAGCAGCAUCUGAGGAGACAGGAAUCUAUCUCAUCUUUCAGAAAUGAGCCUUAAAGGCUUCUCGCUGCAGGAUCUUUCAGCACUAAUCCCUCUUGUCUGAAAGAUCAAGAAAGGAAAAUGUAGCACUGAAAGUGCAGAUGUAAGUAUAUGAAAAUUGGUGAUCAGGAAUAUAAGAUGCAUAGAAGGGGUCUUUUCUAAAGUCUAUUAGUCAAUAAGAAAAACUACUUUGGUCAUAUAUCGUAUACUAUUUAAUUUGUUUGCUUUCUAUAG